rnacentral:rRNA from 1 species
UACGGGGGGAGCAAGCGUUGUUCGGAAUUACUGGGCGUAAAGGGCGUCUAGGUGGAAUCGUAAGUCAGAGGUGAAAGCACGCGGCUCAACUGCGUGUCUGCCUUUGAUACUGCGGAUCUUGAGUGUGGAAGGGGUACGGGGAAUUCCCAGUGUAGCGGUGAAAUGCGUAGAUAUUGGGAAGAAUGCCGGCGGCGAAGGCGCCGUACUGGUCUAACACUGACACUGAAGCGCGAAAGCGUGGGGAGCGAACGGGAUUAGAUACCCCGGUAGUCCACGCUGUAAACGAUGGGCACUAGGUGUGGGAGGUAUUGACUCCUCUCGUGCCGAAGCUAACGCAUUAAGUGCCCCGCCUGGGGAGUACGGUCGCAAGGCUGAA